rnacentral:lncRNA from 1 species
AAAAGGCGCUGUCACUAGACGCUCGUGUAUGAAGGUAAACUAAUUAAGUACAGUGUUUUUGCAGUGAAUUUUUUAUGUUAUUAUUGUUAUCUGGUUUUUAAACCAAGUUAAUCAUGAUCUAGUAGUUAGUAAUUGAUUCUAAAUUGUAGACUUCACAACACGGCUGCAAUGGGAUGUUAUUCAGUUAUUGAGAAUUGAAACAGUCGUCCGAACGGUAUUUUACUUUGCACGUCAUUCAAUUUUCUUUGUUUGUGAAUUACCAUAUUUAUUCUUUAUUCUAUUGCAGUGCUGCGUGACGCUAAAUUGCAUUUAUACCCAUUACCUAGUUUGUAGUUAUUGUAAUUUGUCGCCCAGUCUUCUUCAUUGUUAUUUUAAUGAUUUAUACAUGAUCGAAUUAUAGACGUGAAUCAACGUGAGUACCUAUUAAUUUAUUAUUUUAUCCAUAAAUUACUUACUUAUCUACAGGUAGUUUAUUAGUUGUAACCUAAUUAUGCAAUUGAAAUCACCUAAUUAAAUACAAAAAUAAUUUCUUAUGUUUUUAUAUCAGUAGAUAGGUGCCUAGGUACUGUUGUGGGUGACUGUUUAACACCAAGUUCCAGGUGAACUUAUAACUAGUGGUGUAUUCGAUGCUUUAAUGCUUUCAAUUUAAUGUUUCUGCUUCCGUUGUCACUAAAAUAGCCUAUAACCUUAAUGCGUAAUGUGAGUUCAACUUGAAGUUUUAAUGUAAGCA